rnacentral:rRNA from 1 species
UACGUAGGGUGCGAGCGUUAAUCGGAAUUACUGGGCGUAAAGGGUGCGUAGGCGGCGGAGUAAGUUGGGUGUGAAAUCCCGAGGCUCAACCUCGGAACUGCCUUUGAUACUGCAAAUCUCGAGUCCGGAAGAGGUGAGUGGAAUUCCUAGUGUAGAGGUGAAAUUCGUAGAUAUUAGGAAGAACACCAGUGGCGAAGGCGGCUCGCUGGACCGGUUCUGACGCUGAGGCGCGAAAGCGUGGGGAGCAAACAGG